CCUACGGGAGGCAGCAGUGGGGAAUAUUGCACAAUGGGGGAAACCCUGAUGCAGCGACGCCGCGUGAAGGAAGAAGGUUUUCGGAUCGUAAACUUCUAUCAGCAGGGAAGAAAAAUGUGACAGUACCUGACUAAGAAGCCCGGGCUAACUACGUGCCAGCAGCCGCGGUAAUACGUAGGGGGCAAGCGUUAUCCGGAAUCACUGGGUGUAAAGGGUGCGUAGGCGGUAGGGAAAGUCAGAUGUGUAAGCCCGGGGGUCAACCCCGGGACUGCAUUUGAAACUGUCUUACUAGAGUGCAGGUGAGGAAAGCGGAAAUCCUAGUGUAGCGAUGAAAUGCGUAGAUAGAAGGACGAACACCAGUGGCGAAGGCGGCUUUCUCGACUGUAACUCACGCUGGGGCACGAAAGCGUGGGGAGCGAACAGGAUUAGAUACCCUUGUAGUC
rnacentral:rRNA from 1 species